rnacentral:rRNA from 1 species
GCAUCUUCGGAUGUGUAUAAAGUGGCGAACGGCUGAGUAACACGUGGGCAACCUGCCCUUUGCACUGGGAUAGCCUCGGGAAACCGAGGUUAAUACCGGAUACUCCAUAUCCAUCGCAUGAUAGAUAUGGGAAAGCUCCGGCGGCAAAGGAUGGGCCCGCGGCCUGUUAGCUAGUUGGUGGGGUAGUGGCCUACCAAGGCAAUGAUGGGUAGCCGGGUUGAGAGACCGACCGGCCAGAUUGGGACUGAGACACGGCCCAGACUCCUACGGGAGGCAGCAGUGGGGAAUCUUGCACAAUGGGCGAAAGCCUGAUGCAGCGACGCCGCGUGCGGGAUGAAGGCCUUCGGGUUGUAAACCGCUUUCAGCAGGGACGAGGCCGCAAGGUGACGGUACCUGCAGAAGAAGCCCCGGCUAACUACGUGCCAGCAGCCGCGGUAAUACGUAGGGGGCAAGCGUUAUCCGGAUUCAUUGGGCGUAAAGCGCGCGUAGGCGGUCUGUUAGGUCAGGAGUCAAAUCUGGGGGCUCAACCCCUAUCCGCUCCUGAUACCGGCAGGCUUGAGUCUGGUAUGGGAAGGUGGAAUUCCAAGUGUAGCGGUGAAAUGCGCAGAUAUUUGGAAGAACACCAGUGGCGAAGGCGGCCUUCUGGGCCAUGACUGACGCUGAGGNNNNAAAGCUAGGGGAGCGAACAGGAUUAGAUACCCUGGUAG